UACGUAGGGUGCAAGCGUUAAUCGGAAUUACUGGGCGUAAAGCGCGUGUAGGCGGCUAGGUAAGUCGGAUGUGAAAGCCCCGAGCUCAACUCGGGAACUGCGUCCGAAACUGUUUAGCUAGAGUCCUGGAGAGGAAGGCAGAACUCCCAGUGUAGGGGUGAAAUCCGUAGAUACUGGGAAGAAUACCGGUAGCGAAGGCGGCCUUCUGGACAGUGACUGACGCUGAGACGCGAAAGCGUGGGGAGCAAACAGG
rnacentral:rRNA from 1 species